GAAGGGUGUUUUAGUCGGUAGGUCCGAGGACUUCUUCCUCGGGAAUCCGACACUACCCAGUCGUACGGACGGCUGGGUGUCUUUUGAAGAUUUCCCCUCUUC
rfam:Agrilus planipennis Contig13192, whole genome shotgun sequence.